rnacentral:lncRNA from 1 species
GUGUAGGGCAGGUGGAGGCAAAUUCUGUCCACCACGACUGAUAGGUGAUUAUAUAGACAGCCCUAAAGUCAUCUUGAACUCCACAGAUUUCAGAAAUGUAAACUGAUUACAUUUCCUGUUUUUCCUCACCCUUCAAAAGGGCACAAAAUACCUCUACACAAAGGGUGUGGUGUUUACACUAUGAAGAGUGCCAUUAACUGCACUGCAACUACUCCUGGAAGAAAGCAGUGUCAUUGACUUCAAUGAGACUACUCGGCGUAAUAAGCACCGUGCCCAGUGCAAGAACAACAACGUCAGAGCUCUGAUGCAACUGUGCCUGGCCUUGAGUGACUGAGCUUGCUGUAAAAGGACUGACAAGGUAGAAAAAGACUUUAUAC